rnacentral:rRNA from 1 species
UGAAUACGAGACGCUAAGGCGUCGAAGUAGUGUAUGUCAUACUUCCAAGAAAAGCUUGCACUGUCAUAGAUAAAAAACGCCUGUACCAUAACCGACACAGGUGGGUAGGUAGAGUAUACUAAGGGGCGCGAGAUAACUCUCUCUAAGGAACUCGGCAAAAUAACUCCGUAACUUCGGGAGAAGGAGUGCCUUAUUAUUAAGGCUGCAAUAACAAGAUCCAAGCAACUGUUUAUCAAAAACACAGGUCUCCGCUAAGUCGUAAGACGAUGUAUGGGGGCUGACGCCUGCCCAGUGCCAGAAGGUUAAAGAAGUUGGUUAGCAUUUGCGAAGCUGAUAACUGAAGCCCUGGUGAACGGCGGCCGUAACCAUAACGGUCCUAAGGUAGCGAAAUUCCUUGUCGGGUAAGUUCCGACCCGCACGAAAGGCGUAAUGAUUUGGAUACUGUCUCGGAGAGGGGCUCGGUGAAAUAGACUUGUCUGUGAAGAUGCGGACUACCUGCACCCGGACAGAAAGACCCUAUGAAGCUUUACUGUAACUUGAAAUUGAAAUUGGACUUUAUUCGCGCAGCAUAGGUGGGAGGCUUUGAUUAUAAUCUUGUGGGAUUAUUGGAGCCAUCAGUGAGAUACCACUCUUGUAAUGUUAGAUUUCUAACUUUGAAUCAUUAUCUGGUCAAAGAACAGUUUCGGGCGGGCAGUUUGACUGGGGCGGUCGCCUCCUAAACGGUAACGGAGGCGUACAAAGGUUUCCUCUGAACGGUUAGAAAUCGUAUCUAGAGUGUAAAGGCAUAAGGAAGCUUGACUGUGAGACCUACAAGUCGAGCAGGGACGAAAGUCGGUCUUAGUGAUCUGACGGUACUGAGUGGAAAGGCCGUCACUCAACGGAUAAAAGUUACUCUAAGGAUAACAGGCUGAUCUCCCCCAAGAGUUCACAUCGACGGGGAGGUUUGGCACCUCGAUGUCGGCUCAUCGCAUCCUGGGGCGGUAGUACGUCCCAAGGGUUGGGCUGUUCGCCCAUGAAAGCGGUACGCGAGCUGGGUUCAGAACGUCGUGAGACAGUUCGGUCCAUAUCCGGUGUAGGCGUUAGAAUAUUGAGAGGAGCCUUCUUUAGUACGAGAGGACCGAGAAGGACAUACCUCUGGUGUACCAGUUAUCGUGCCAACGGCAUCGCCGGGUAGCUAUGAACGGACGGGAUAACCGCUGAAAGCAUCUAGUGGGAAGCCCACCUCAAGAUAAGUAUUCUC